rnacentral:rRNA from 1 species
AUUGAACGCUGGCGGCAGGCCUAACACAUGCAAGUCGAGCGGAUGAAGGGAGCUUGCUCCUGGAUUCAGCGGCGGACGGGUGAGUAAUGCCUAGGAAUCUGCCUGGUAGUGGGGGAUAACGUCCGGAAACGGGCGCUAAUACCGCAUACGUCCUGAGGGAGAAAGUGGGGGAUCUUCGGACCUCACGCUAUCAGAUGAGCCUAGGUCGGAUUAGCUAGUUGGUGGGGUAAAGGCCUACCAAGGCGACGAUCCGUAACUGGUCUGAGAGGAUGAUCAGUCACACUGGAACUGAGACACGGUCCAGACUCCUACGAGAGGCAGCAGUGGGGAAUAUUGGACAAUGGGCGAAAGCCUGAUCCAGCCAUGCCGCGUGUGUGAAGAAGGUCUUCGGAUUGUAAAGCACUUUAAGUUGGGAGGAAGGGCAGUAAGUUAAUACCUUGCUGUUUUGACGUUACCAACAGAAUAAUCACCGGCUAACUUCGUG